UUCUCGAGCAGGAAAGCACGUAAUACGACAAUGUUUUAAUUUUAUUGAGUGAUAUAAGAGUGUAUUUAAGAUUUCUCUCUUUAAGAUUAUUGUCUUUGACAAUUUGACAAGAAUUCUUGUGAUUGUCUUUUUACUUAUCCUUCAAUUUUUUUAGAAUAAACCUGUAUAGGGGAAUUCGAAUACAAAGAAAGACUAAGUACAUGAAUUUUACUUAUUAAGGUCAUACAAUUAAUCAUAUUCCGAACCACUAAAACACCAAGAAAUACUACAAUACUUUUUUCCAAUAACAAUACUCUUUCAUUAAUUGAUAACAACAGUGUGUAACCUUGCACUCUCAAAAGACUGCUCAAAAUACAUAAUUUCCAUCCAAUACCAAAAUUAAUAGACUUCACUUUAACCAGUCUGAAUUCACAUAAUUUUUGUAAUCACCAACUUCCUUUGUCGAAAUACAUACAGCUCUCAAUAAACAAUAAUCAUAAUCUUUCAAUAACUUGUCAUAUAAUUCAAUCACUUAGUGCUCUAAUUACAUAAUCAAUAAUUCAUAAAUCAAUCUUUGAUUUAUUCCACAGACUCACUUUUCAGUAUUCAAAAAUUAUCCAUUAUUCCUCAACAACAAAAAAAAUUAAAGAGACAAAGAGGUAGUACCAAGCUUAACCCUGGCUCAUGACUAUC
rnacentral:lncRNA from 1 species